AUUGAACGCUGGCGGCAGGCCUAACACAUGCAAGUCGAGCGGAUGAAGGGAGCUUGCUCCUGGAUUCAGCGGCGGACGGGUGAGUAAUGCCUAGGAAUCUGCCUGGUAGUGGGGGAUAACGUCCGGAAACGGGCGCUAAUACCGCAUACGUCCUGAGGGAGAAAGUGGGGGAUCUUCGGACCUCACGCUAUCAGAUGAGCCUAGGUCGGAUUAGCUAGUUGGUGGGGUAAAGGCCUACCAAGGCGACGAUCCGUAACUGGUCUGAGAGGAUGAUCAGUCACACUGGAACUGAGACACGGUCCAGACUCCUACGGGAGGCAGCAGUGGGGAAUAUUGGACAAUGGGCGAAAGCCUGAUCCAGCCAUGCCGCGUGUGUGAAGAAGGUCUUCGGACUGUAAAGCACUUUAAGUUGGGAGAAAGGGCAGUAAGUUAAUACCUUGCUGUUUUGACGUUACCAACAGAAUAAGCACCGGCUAACUUCGUG
rnacentral:rRNA from 1 species